rnacentral:rRNA from 1 species
CUUGCUAGAUUGAUGGCGAGUGGCGAACGGGUGAGUAAUACAUCGGAACGUGCCCUGUAGUGGGGGAUAACUAGUCGAAAGAUUAGCUAAUACCGCAUACGACCUGAGGGUGAAAGUGGGGGACCGCAAGGCCUCAUGCUAUAGGAGCGGCCGAUGUCUGAUUAGCUAGUUGGUGGGGUAAAGGCCCACCAAGGCGACGAUCAGUAGCUGGUCUGAGAGGACGAUCAGCCACACUGGGACUGAGACACGGCCCAGACUCCUACGGGAGGCAGCAGUGGGGAAUUUUGGACAAUGGGCGAAAGCCUGAUCCAGCAAUGCCGCGUGUGUGAAGAAGGCCUUCGGGUUGUAAAGCACUUUUGUCCGGAAAGAAAUGGCUCUGGUUAAUACCUGGGGUCGAUGACGGUACCGGAAGAAUAAGGACCGGCUAACUACGUGCCAGCAGCCGCGGUAAUACGUAGGGUCCAAGCGUUAAUCGGAAUUACUGGGCGUAAAGCGUGCGCAGGCGGUUGUGCAAGACCGAUGUGAAAUCCCCGAGCUUAACUUGGGAAUUGCAUUGGUGACUGCACGGCUAGAGUGUGUCAGAGGGGGGUAGAAUUCCACGUGUAGCAGUGAAAUGCGUAGAGAUGUGGAGGAAUACCGAUGGCGAAGGCAGCCCCCUGGGAUAACACUGACGCUCAUGCACGAAAGCGUGGGGAGCAAACAGGAUUAGAUACCCUGGUAGUCCACGCCCUAAACGAUGUCAACUAGUUGUUGGGGAUUCAUUUCCUUAGUAACGUAGCUAACGCGUGAAGUUGACCGCCUGGGGAGUACGGUCGCAAGAUUAAAACUCAAAGGAAUUGACGGGGACCCGCACAAGCGGUGGAUGAUGUGGAUUAAUUCGAUGCAACGCGAAAAACCUUACCUACCCUUGACAUGCCACUAACGAAGCAGAGAUGCAUUAGGUGCUCGAAAGAGAAAGUGGACACAGGUGCUGCAUGGCUGUCGUCAGCUCGUGUCGUGAGAUGUUGGGUUAAGUCCCGCAACGAGCGCAACCCUUGUCUCUAGUUGCUACGAAAGGGCACUCUAGAGAGACUGCCGGUGACAAACCGGAGGAAGGUGGGGAUGACGUCAAGUCCUCAUGGCCCUUAUGGGUAGGGCUUCACACGUCAUACAAUGGUGCAUACAGAGGGUUGCCAAGCCGCGAGGUGGAGCUAAUCCCAGAAAAUGCAUCGUAGUCCGGAUCGUAGUCUGCAACUCGACUACGUGAAGCUGGAAUCGCUAGUAAUCGCGGAUCAGCAUUCCGCGGUGAAUACGUUCGCCGGGUCUCUGUACACACCGCCCGUCACACCAUGGGAGUGGGCUUU